rnacentral:rRNA from 1 species
UGCGCAGGCGGUGCUUUAAGUCAGAUGUGAAAUACCCGGGCUUAACCUGGGGGGUGCAUUUGAAACUGGAGCACUUGAGUGCAGGAGAGGAAAGUGGAAUUCCUAGUGUAGCGGUGAAAUGCGUAGAUAUUAGGAGGAACACCAGUGGCGAAGGCGACUUUCUGGACUGUAACUGACGCUGAGGCACGAAAGCGUGGGGAGCAAACAGGAUUAGAUACCCUGGUAGUCCACGCUGUAAACGAUGGAUACUAGGUGUAGGGAGCGAUAGCUCUCUGUGCCGCAGCUAACGCAAUAAGUAUCCCGCCUGGGGAGUACGAUCGCAAGGUUGAA